AUCUUCGCCAACCUUCUGGACCGCGGGCAGUCGUCGUGGAUCA
rnacentral:tRNA from 1 species